UGUGCCGCAAGGCGGACUUAUGCUGUACCCACAGCGUAGCAGCUAGAACCUGCAUCGGACUUCUAACAAAGGAGAAAACAAAUG
ncrna:unclassified sequences freshwater-2 RNA